rnacentral:tRNA from 1 species
GGGCGCAUGGCCUAAUGGUAAGGCGUCAGAUUUCGGUUCCAUUCACGGUUCUCCGGUUCUCUGAAGAUUGCAGGUUCGAUCCCUGCUGUGCUCG